rnacentral:rRNA from 1 species
UACGUAGGGUGCAAGCGUUAAUCGGAAUUACUGGGCGUAAAGCGUGCGCAGGCGGUUCGUUGUGUCGGCGGUGAAAGCCCCGGGCUCCAACCUGGGAAUGGCCGUUGAAACUGGCGAACUGGAGUGUGGCAGAGGGGGUGGAAUUUCGCGUGUAGCAGUGAAAUGCGUAGAUAUGACGGAGAACACCGAUGGCGAAGGCAAUCCCCUGGGCCUGCACUGACGCUCAUGCACGAAAGCGUGGGGAGCAAACAGG